GUGCUCGCUUCAGCAGCACAUAUACUAAAAUUGGAAUGAUACAGAGAAGAUUAGCAUGGCCCCUGCACAAAGAUGGCAUGUAAAUUUGUAAAGCAUUCCAUAUUUUU
rnacentral:snRNA from 1 species